AUGAUGCUUUGUUUGUUUGAGAAGGAGUGGUUACUAUUCUGUUUCAGAGGUCCAGAGAGAAAGAACUGAGAAACUGAAUGAGAUAGUGAUCAUCAUACAUAUUUCAGGACAUUCAGAGGAAAGAUACUCAAUGUCAGGCAUUUGUGAAGAGAGUCAUAACGAGUAAUCUGUUUAAGAAAAUUAUGAUUAGCACCAUCUCAAUUAAUGCCUUUUUGGUGGUCUUAUGGACUGAUUAUGAAACAAGAUACAGGUUUUUCAGAGUUUUUGAGGGAUAAAAUAAAGUUAUAACAUGUACAAGCAGGACACACUACAGAUUUUCCAUAGGAUUACCUUUGUGGGAAGGGUAGGGGAUCUGAGCAAU